CAGUCACAAAAAUGAGCAAGAUGUGCUUCCUGCCAUAGCAAGUAUAUCCUAGAAGCAUAUAAAAAAGUAUGUUGGGAACCAGAAGGAGGAGCAAAUAAAUCAGACUGGGCAGAACCAAAAAUGAGCAACUCUUUCUAGCAACACUGUAAUCUUCCAAGAUGCAUUUAUGGAAAAUUUUCAGCUUACGGCCCAAAGUGGGGACUAUUAUGAGUCCCUCAAGAAUAUGGAAUUGGGAAAAAUGAGCAAGACCUCCCAGCAAACGGCAAAAACUGAAUUAAAGGAGAGAAGUAGACACUGACAAAUGUACUGAUUUGAGGAAAAACAACACUAGGCCAGUGGUGUCUUAAUUCUUGGUCAAUUACAUCUACCAAUAUAUUGAAAGAGAGAAUAUGUCCAUCAGACGAGUGGUUGAGAAGCCAGAAAAACAUACAGAGAGGAAAGGUGGAGAAAGAGAUCCUUGUGUUGUUCAAUGGAGACUUGUCUGAAGAUGAUGCUUUGUACCAGGGCACUCUAUUUCAAGAGCAGGCAUAUUAUUGCUGUUAUUAUUAUUGUUGUUCUCUAGUACAGAGAUGGCGAACCUUUUAGAACUUUCAGUGAUAACAAACAGCCCUCUAUGAUAUGCACACCAUAGGUUCACUACCCCUGCUCUAGAAUGUACUGUUUUCUAGGUCAUGUUUUAAUGUAGUAUACAUUAAUCCUUAUAAAAAUCUAAAGAUGUAGACACUAAUACUAACCCUAUUUAUAGAUAAGGAUAUUCAAGUUGAAGGAGAUUAAGGUGCUUGUCUAGAAUUUUAUAGCUAGUAAAUGUCAAUGUUGGUAUUUGAACUUAAUCUUGAGAAUUUGUACAUAGAACCACAAUUAUGAAAAUUCAUAUGGCCCAAAGAGAAUUCUCUCCUAAGCUUUGCAAAGAAGAAUUAGAGGCUCCAGAGUUUGUGACUAGCCCAGUAGUAUGUGUCAGAAUUAAGACAACUCAGGUCUCCUGAAUCUUAGUUUGUUAUAUUUCCAGAAUACUUGGAUGCUUUCUUCUCCUUGGAGAACUCAAUAAAGAUGAAAGCAGUAAAAUUAGAUUGUGAGAAGAGUUAGGACAACGGCAAACUGUACUCAUAGGAAGAGAGCAACUUCAUAGCUCCCUGGAAAGAAGGGAAAAAUUGGUCUUCACUUUCUUGAAGGUGGAUUGUCCAAAUAAAUUGUUUGGAACUCUGCACAGGAGAUUUGUCUAUUCUUCCAUAUUUAUUUAUUUUUUGAAUCACGUUUUUAUACCAGUAUAGACUCAUUUAUUUUACACUUUGGGUUUUAAUCCAAUUUAUUUUCUUACACCAAGUUCCUGCUUUGCCUGCUUGGAGCUUGUUCGGUUGCUUCCUGCAUUCUUUUGACAUACCCAUCAUUGUGUGUGUGGGGUGUGUGUGUGUGUGUGUGUGUGUGUGUGUGUGUGUGUAUCACUUCGUAUUCUAGCAGUACAAGAUGCUUCAGGCUUUCCAGCUUCAAUUCUAGAAUCGGCCACAUCUCCAAGGACCCUGUCUUUUCUUUUUGGAGAAUGAUAUUAGAAACUAAGAUCCGGGCAUCAUGUGACUCUUACUUUAACUAGUAGCUAAUGAUUAGGAGUCAAGACUAUGGCUGCCCGUGGAGAGCAGGUGUCGAGUAGAAAAGAUCCAAAGGGAACUUCCAGGGUGUCUGAUCUGUUUCUUGACUUUAGCCCUUGUUGCCUGGGUUUCUUUAAUUUAUGAAAAUGCAUAUAUGUUUAUGAUAUGUGCAGUUUUCUAUUUUCAUGCUAUAUUUCAAUAAAAUUUUUAGCAGAUAAAGGAAAAACAAGUCGAAAAACUAAUACUUCAGAUUUACUGAGUAUCAGGUAAACAAAGUCUGUCCAGCUCUAUAGAAGCACCCUCAGGUAGCCACUUAGUUUUCUUCAUUUACAAAGUAGGGAUGAGGUCAUCAUCUGCUAAAGGUGGCUGUUGUGAACUCUACAUGAGGCUUUAACCAUGCACCCCCACGCAUAGGUGCUUGUAUACGUAUGCGUGUUUGUGUGUAUGCAGUCAGUCCUUAUUAUCUACAGAGUUCAUUCUUAUGAAUCUGCUUACUUGCUAAUAUUUACUUGAAACCCUAAAGUCAAUGCUUAUGCCACUUUUGAGGUCACUGUGGACAUGUUCUGGGCGGCAUGACAGCCUGGUGCCUGUGUUCCCAGUGAGCUUAGCCAAGGUGACACUCUGGCUUCUGGUUUCAGCUCUCCUGCUGUAAACAAACAUCUCCUUCUCAAUGGAGUUAAGGCCAUGUUUCCCGCAUUUUGGUGCUUUGUUUCAUUUGUGAUUUAACUAUUUAAAAUGGCCUCACGUGCAGUGCUGAAUCUGUGUAUACUGUCCCUAAGAAUGAG
ensembl:lncRNA